GGGUGGGAUGAGUAUUCUAAGGCGCGUGGAAGAACUCUCUUUAAGGAACUCUGCAAAAUAGCACCGUAUCUUCGGUAUAAGGUGUGGUUAGCUUUGUAUUAGGAUUUACUCCGAAAGCAAGGAAACUUACAACAAAGAGUCCCUCCCGACUGUUUACCAAAAACACAGCACUCUGCUAACUCGUAAGAGGAUGUAUAGGGUGUGACGCCUGCCCGGUGCUCGAAGGUUAAUUGAUGGGGUUAGCAUUAGCGAAGCUCUUGAUCGAAGCCCGAGUAAACGGCGGCCGUAACUAUAACGGUCCUAAGGUAGCGAAAUUCCUUGUCGGUUAAAUACCGACCUGCAUGAAUGGCGUAACGAGAUGGGAGCUGUCUCAAAGAGGGAUCCAGUGAAAUUGUAGUGGAGGUGAAAAUUCCUCCUACCCGCGGCAAGACGGAAAGACCCCGUGGACCUUUACUACAGCUUGACACUGCUACUUGGAUAAGAAUGUGCAGGAUAGGUGGGAGGCUUUGAGUAUAUGACGCCAGUUGUAUAUGAGCCAUUGUUGAGAUACCACUCUUUCUUAUUUGGGUAGCUAACCAGCUUGAGUUAUCCUCAAGUGGGACAAUGUCUGGUGGGUAGUUUGACUGGGGCGGUCGCCUCCCAAAUAAUAACGGAGGCUUACAAAGGUUGGCUCAGAACGGUUGGAAAUCGUUCGUAGAGUAUAAAGGUAUAAGCCAGCUUAACUGCAAGACAUACAAGUCAAGCAGAGACGAAAGUCGGUCUUAGUGAUCCGGUGGUUCUGUGUGGAAGGGCCAUCGCUCAAAGGAUAAAAGGUACCCCGGGGAUAACAGGCUGAUCUCCCCCAAGAGCUCACAUCGGCGGGGAGGUUUGGCACCUCGAUGUCGGCUCAUCGCAUCCUGGGGCUGGAGCAGGUCCCAAGGGUAUGGCUGUUCGCCAUUUAAAGCGGUACGCGAGCUGGGUUCAGAACGUCGUGAGACAGUUCGGU
rnacentral:rRNA from 1 species